rnacentral:rRNA from 1 species
AGCGAACGCUGGCGGCAGGCCUAACACAUGCAAGUCGAACGAAGUCUUCGGACUUAGUGGCGGACGGGUGAGUAACACGUGGGAAUGUACCUUUUGGUUCGGAACAACUCAGGGAAACUUGAGCUAAUACCGGAUGAGCCCUUAGGGGGAAAGAUUUAUCGCCGAAAGAGCGGCCCGCGUUAGAUUAGCUAGUUGGUGAGGUAAAGGCUCACCAAGGCUACGAGAUAUAGCUGGUCUGAGAGGAUGAUCAGCCACACUGGGACUGAGACACGGCCCAGACGCCUACGGGAGGCAGCAGUGGGGAAUCUUGCGCAAUGUCGAAAGCUUGACGCAGCCAUGCCGCGUGAAUGAUGAAGGUCUUAGGAUUGUAAAAUUCUUUUCCCAGGCGCGAUAAUGACGGUACCUGGAGAAAAAGCCCCGGCUAACAUCGUGCCAGCCGCCGCCCUAAUAC